rnacentral:rRNA from 1 species
UUCGCCCUUUCCGGUUGAUCCUGCCGGACCUGACUGCUAUCGGAUUGAUACUAAGCCAUGCGAGUCAUUGUAGUAAUACAAGGCAGACGGCUCAGUAACGCGUAGUCAACCUAACCUAUGGACGGGAAUAACCUCGGGAAACUGAGUAUAAUGCCCGAUAGAACAUUAUGCCUGGAAUGGUUUAUGUUCCAAAUGAUUUAUCGCCGUAGGAUGGGACUGCGGCCUAUCAGUUUGUUGGUGAGGUAAUGGCCCACCAAGACUAUUACAGGUACGGGCUCUGAGAGGAGUAGCCCGGAGAUGGGUACUGAGACACGGACCCAGGCCCUAUGGGGCGCAGCAGGCGAGAAAACUUUGCAAUGUGCGAAAGCACGACAAGGUUAAUCCGAGUGGUUUCUGCUAAAGGAACCUUUUGUUAGUCCUAGAAACACUAACGAAUAAGGGGUGGGCAAGUUCUGGUGUCAGCCGCCGCGGUAAAACCAGCACCUCAAGUGGUCAGGAUGAUUAUUGGGCCUAAAGCAUCCGUAGCCGGCUCUGUAAGUUUUCGG